rnacentral:rRNA from 1 species
GAUGAACGCUGGCGGCGUGCCUAAUACAUGCAAGUCGAGCGAACAGAUGAGGAGCUUGCUCCUCUGACGUUAGCGGCGGACGGGUGAGUAACACGUGGAUAACCUACCUAUAAGACUGGGAUAACUUCGGGAAACCGGAGCUAAUACCGGAUAAUAUAUUGAACCGCAGGGUUCGAUAGUGAAAGACGGUUUUGCUGUCACGUAUAGAUGGAUCCGCGCCGCAUGAGCUGGUUGGUACGGUAACGGGUUACCACGGCGACGAGGCGUAGCCGACCUGAGAGGGUGAUCGGCGACAUGGGAGCGGAGCCACGGUCCAGACGCCUACGGGACGCAGCAGAAGGGUACCGUCCGCAAUGGGCGAAAGUCUUACGGAGCAAGCGCGAGUGAGUGAUGAAGGUCUUGCGAUCGUAAAACUCUCUUACUAGGUAUGAACAAAUGUGUAAUUAACCAUGGACGUCUUGACGGUAAUUAAUAAGAAAGCCACGGCUAACUACGUG